rnacentral:rRNA from 1 species
ACGGGAGGCAGCAGCUAAGAAUAUUCCGCAAUGGACGAAAGUCUGACGGAGCGACGCCGCGUGGAUGAUGAAGGCCGAAAGGUUGUAAAAUCCUUUUGAAUUGGAAGAAUAAGUAUUGUAGGUAAUGACAGUAUGGUGACAGUACAAUUUGAAUAAGCAACGGCUAAUUACGUGCCAGCAGCCGCGGUAACACGUAAGUUGCGAGCGUUGUUCGGAAUUAUUGGGCGUAAAGGGCAUGUAGGCGGUUAUACAAGCUUGGUGUGAAAUCUAUGGGCUUAACCCAUAAACUGCGUUGAGAACUGUAUAACUAGAGUUACUAAGGGGAAACUAGAAUUCCAGGUGUAGGGGUGGAAUCUGUAGAUAUCUGGAAGAAUACCAAUGGCGAAGGCAAGUUUCUAGUAGAUAACUGACGCUGAGGUGCGAAGGUGCGGGGAGCAAACAGGAUUAGAUACCCUGGUA